AGUCUUCUCCCGAUUCCUCCCUCAGUCUGUUUCCUUUUCCCUUUUUUACCGCUGUGUUUUUGUUAUGUCAUUGGUGUCAAAUUUAAAUAAACAUCAUCUUUGCCUAAUUGUUUCAUCUGGUGGCAGAGGCAACGUGAACCCGGCGACCGAAGCCUUGGCCAUUACGGACGCGUUACCAAAAACCUACUACAGCAGCUCUUCGCCGAAGAAGGCAUAAAUUGAGGAAAAAUAUUCUGUCACCGACAUCAAAGAAAAACAAUUAAAGAAGAAAAUAAAGGCAUUGUGGUUGGAGCAUGGCCUACUAUAAUCACGGCUCAUCAGCUGGAUAUCUCCCUGUAGCCUAAAAUGAAUUGGGAUCGCUCCGCCCAUUCAUAGCCAGAGGGUCGUAGUCCCUCUCAAAUUUUUCCAAAUUCCACUGCUUGUUUCCACCUUUUAAAAUGUUUUUAAAUUCUGCCAUUGCCGUGCUUCUGAUGUCAUGAUUCGAAUCGCUCUGCCAGGGUGUUUGAGUAAGUACUAAGCACUUAGAGUUGUUGUUUGGUAAGUAUUUGUCCCUUAAUUUUUUAUUCUUAAUUUUUCUUGAUAACAUUCAUAGGACACAACGCCAACACAAUGCAAAUAAAAAGAAGUAAAAUGGGAUGCAAGUACUUUUCAGAGAGGUAGACCAAGCCGGGCACUGUCUGAGGCCCAGCACACAAUGAGUAAUUUAUGUCAACAGCGGCUGAGGAUCUGGGGGAGCCAACUGAAGUAGAUUAGUAGGAACAAGAACUUACUUUUAGUAACUCAAUUAAUGUUUAGUUAAUGGAAUAUUAAUUAAUUUGUUUCUGUAUUUCUUAGGUAAUGGGCAAAGCAUUGAAUUUUACUUACGAACAACAACAACAUCACUAGCUACUUUUAAAGUUUAAGGGCUUUUCUCUUCUUUCGCUUGUUCUGAACAAUUAGUAUUUUAUCACUUCGUACAUGACUUCUUUUUUCUUCUGCAGCAAAACAUUUGAAUUCUUCGCAUUGAGACAAACGCACCACAACAAAGUCAACAAAGUCAUCGACUAUUUUGCUGCAGUUCCGUAGUUUUUGGAAUACUCUUCUUAAAAAAAUGUACACUGUCCACAUGCGAGACGUCACUGAUUCACAAGGAUAUUUCAAACCACCUCUAUCUGGUAUCUUGCGUUGCAUGUACGGGUAAUGAUUUUGGUGUAACAAUCAAUGCAAAAGCAGAGCAGUUGUUCGUACUUAAAUAUUGCAUAGCCAGUUAUAUAAAACAUGAAAGUGCGUCUGAAAUGAAGGGAACGUGGUCUAUACAGCCUCUGUGACUAGAGGAGUGUUACAAUGCAUCGGUGUCAUAGCCAAUUGAGUACGACUAAUUCUUUCUAUGGCACUUAGACAAUGGCCAACAGCAGGAUGGUCAUUGUAACCUCAGUGGUUGCGCACAGCUCCAUGGAAACGCUCUAUAUUAUCCGUGGAAAACCUUCUUGUCAGUACGAAUUGUAAUCCAUUGUUGAGAAGAUGCUUUAUAAAGUUUGCUGUGGAAUGCGAAGUUAGAAUAAUCGCUCUAGAGUUUCUUUCGUGAAACAUUCCAUAGGAUCUUCUGUUGAUUCCAUUGAAUAAGCAUUUGGGGUAUUGUAACGUCAAGCUCAUACAAUCUGUCAUCGUUUGGGUCAGCGAAUGGUUUUUUAAUAUCUAGCCUUUGUUGGUAAUGUUGGGUC
rnacentral:lncRNA from 1 species